GUCGCGAUGCGGGCUUUUACUCGGACACACCAUAGCAAGACUACCACUAUAUAACCACAUGAAUUUAGGUUGCCUCGAGAAGCAUACAAACGAGUUAUUUUCUAUUUAUAUUGUUAAAGCAAACCUCAGUAUAAAUAGUCUGGAGAGGAGUUUGCUAGCGGGUGACUGCACGGACUUCGGCCAUGUGCGUCGAGGAAAAAAAGCGCAGACGAUGUUAACUAUAUGAUACAAGAUCCUCAGCUAUGCAGCCCGCCUCCUCUCCUUUCUCCUCCUCACCGUGGUCACUCAGAACCCUGUCCCAGCCUCCAUCUUCAUCACUACCAGCAUUUUGACUCUGGGGUGUCGCUCAUGCAAAAUCCUGUCACUGCUGAGAUUUCUUCUGCUAUAAUGGGUCACUGGAGUCUAACUGCCUAACAGUUACAUUUAUUUCUGUAUCUCAAUAAAUCCUGUUCGGUUUUUCCA